UACGGGGGGGGCGAGCGUUGUCCGGAAUCAUUGGGCGUAAAGCGCGUGUAGGCGGUUCGGUAAGUCUGCUGUGAAAGUCCAGGGCUCAACCCUGGGAUGCCGGUGGAUACUGCCGAACUAGAGUGCGGAAGAGGCGAGUGGAAUUCCCGGUGUAGCGGUGAAAUGCGCAGAUAUCGGGAGGAACACCAAUUGCGAAGGCAGCUCGCUGGGACGUUACUGACGCUGAGACGCGAAAGCGUGGGGGAGCAAACAGG
rnacentral:rRNA from 1 species